GAUGAACGCUGGCGGCGUGCCUAAUACAUGCAAGUCGAGCGAACAGACGAGGAGCUUGCUCCUCUGACGUUAGCGGCGGACGGGUGAGUAACACGUGGAUAACCUACCUAUAAGACUGGGAUAACUUCGGGAAACCGGAGCUAAUACCGGAUAAUCUAUUGAACCGCAUGGUUCAAUAGUGAAAGACGGUUUUGCUGUCACUUAUAGAUGGAUCCGCGCCGCAUUAGCUAGUUGGUAAGGUAACGGCUUACCAAGGCAACGAUGCGUAGCCGACCUGAGAGGGUGAUCGGCCACACUGGAACUGAGACACGGUCCAGACUCCUACGGGAGGCAGCAGUAGGGAAUAUUCCGCAAUGGGCGAAAGCCUGACGAAGCAACGCCGCGUGGGUGAUGAAGGGCUUCGGAUUGUAAAGUUCUGUUAGCAGGGAAGAACAAAUGUGUAUGUAUCUAUGCACUCCUUGACGGUACCUGAUCAAGAAGCAACGGCUAACUCCGGG
rnacentral:rRNA from 1 species